rnacentral:rRNA from 1 species
AACCUGGUUGAUCCUGCCAGUAGUCAUAUGCUUGUCUCAAAGAUUAAGCCAUGCAUGUCUAAGUAUAAGCAAUUUUACGGUGAAACUGCGAAUGGCUCAUUAAAUCAGUUAUAGUUUAUUUGAUGGUACUUUACUACAUGGAUAACUGUGGUAAUUCUAGAGCUAAUACAUGCGUAAAAGCCCCAACUUUUUGGAAGGGGUGUAUUUAUUAGGUAAAAACCAACCGCUUCGGCGUCCUUUGGUGAAUCAUAAUAACUUUUCUAAUCGCAUGGCCUUGUGCCGGCGAUGCUUCAUUCAAAUAUCUGCCCUAUCAACUUUGAUGGUAGGAUAGAGGCCUACCAUGGUUGCAACGGGUAACGGGGAAUAAGGGUUCGAUUCCGGAGAGGGAGCCUGAGAAACGGCUACCACAUCCAAGGAAGGCAGCAGGCGCGCAAAUUACCCAAUCCCGACACGGGGAGGUAGUGACAAUAAAUAACAAUAUAGGGCCUUACAGGUCUUAUAAUUGGAAUGAGUACAAUUUAAAUCCCUUAACGAGGAACAAUUGGAGGGCAAGUCUGGUGCCAGCAGCCGCGGUAAUUCCAGCUCCAAUAGCGUAUAUUAAAGUUGUUGCA